rnacentral:rRNA from 1 species
AGUGAACGCUGGCGGUAGGCCUAACACAUGCAAGUCGAACGGCAGCACAGUAAGAGCUUGCUCUUACGGGUGGCGAGUGGCGGACGGGUGAGGAAUACAUCGGAAUCUACUUUUUCGUGGGGGAUAACGUAGGGAAACUUACGCUAAUACCGCAUACGACCUACGGGUGAAAGCAGGGGAUCUUCGGACCUUGCGCGAUUGAAUGAGCCGAUGUCGGAUUAGCUAGUUGGCGGGGUAAAGGCCCACCAAGGCGACGAUCCGUAGCUGGUCUGAGGGGAUGAUCAGCCACACUGGAACUGAGACACGGUCCAGACUCCUACGGGAGGCAGCAGUGGGGAAUAUUGGACAAAGGGCGCAAGCCUGAUCCAGCCAUACCGCGUGGGUGAAGAGGGCCUUCGGGUUGUAAAGCCCUUUUGUUGGGAAAGAAAAGCAGCAGGUUAAUACCCCGCUGUUCUGACGGUACCCAAAGAAUAAGCACCGGCUAACUUCGUG